rnacentral:lncRNA from 1 species
AUGACAUGCUCUGGACUAUGUUGAUAGUGCCAUACUAGUGAAAAGAUUAUAAUGCUAUGUGAUUUAGCUUUACCCUUACAUGUUUACAAUCUAGUGAUUACUAGCUCUUGUUACUAUUGUGUAUUGAAAUUCCGAUCAGAGGAUCGAGGGUAAGAACUUUGCAAUGAAAUUAUGAAAAUUGUGACAUGUGGAUAUUGGAUAUUGUUUGCUUGCCAUCGUGCUCAUUCGCACACGCUUGUGAGGGUAGCUCCCUACAAGCCGGCACUCCGGAGUUGGCCUAUGCGACAGUUGCUCGCCCGUGCGGGAUUGGGUGCCGAAGUGGAUUGCCGUGGGGAGUGUAUACUACCACGGGGCCAUUAGGCGCGGCGCAAGCUGGACUACCUUGGGUAGGUCCCUGUGAAUGAAAGGAAAGUACUAAAUGAAAAAGGACAGUAAUGAAUGUUUAUUACUUAAAGUGUACAGUAGUCACUUUUAUAUUCGUGCUUAUACUCAUGUCUAUGUUCAUGAUUACAGAAGUUGCUAUAUCUCUUUUAUGCAAAUGGUUCAUUACUGUAGAAAGCUAUUACAUGAUGAUUACAUGCUUAUUACUUAUUAGCAACAUGCUUAUAAAUCAUGCAAUUAUUGUUAUUGCUUUCAUUUAGUACAUCUUGAGCCUAGUGGUGUAAUUCGCCGAGGCUGGCGGCUUACCCACUGGGAACUAUUGUUAAUAGUUCUCACGCCCUUUUGGUGGUUGUUUUUACAGAGCCUGUUACAGGAGAGGCUAGGGAUCGUGGCAAGGGAGUCGCGCCUAGCUAGGGACUACUAGGAGCGUGCUAGUCGAUCACCUUGCUACUCGGGCUACGGCCGAGGGUGAUGUCCCUAUGUAUAGAGAGACCACCGUUGUACCUAUUCUUUUUGUAUACCCAUGAUGUAUAUUUUACUUUUAGGGUUGAGAUUAGUGGGGUUACUUCUCCUUUUGUUGAGAUCUUGGAUUGUAUACUCUUUGUAUUUUGACUUGGAUUUGAUACUCGUUGUAUAUCGACUUGUACUUUGCUCUGAUAUCAGGAUAGGACUUCUUGUUUUACUUCCUAUCGACUUGCUUCUUGUAGACGCCUUAUAUACUGCAGGUGUAUGGCGGGUCUGUGCACGUGCCGGAUAUGCUUCCGCUGGUAUCCGGGCGUGACAGAUUAUAGUGGUAUCAGAGCCUAGGGUUGAGUCUUAGUAGACCUAGCAAACCUUAGGCUGGUUGGACUAUAAGAAUAGGCACGUGAGAGACGAUGUCUAGUCUAGGUUGUUGUUAGCGAAAGUGCUUUGAUUGGGUACUUAUAAACUCCGAAUAGUAGGAGUUUGACUGGGAUGUGCAAGUACUAACUUUGCAGAGGGUCACGUUGGCGGCCGACAACGUGACAUCGGAAGUUAGUACGCGUUACAUUUCAUUACUUUCGCUUGAUUAGCCGGUUUAUAUUCUUAAUGAGGAUUCAAUAGUAUAGGGUUUAUUGACCUAUGUUUGUUUUUGUAUUGCAGUUCAAGAUGCCUACGACUCGUUCUGGAACCGCCGGGGCGGCUGAGGCAGCCGCUGCGGAAGAAGUUGAGACUUCCGUCACUUCGGGGUCCAGUGAGCUCCAUGAGUUGCAGGAUCAGCUUGCGACAUUGACAGAGUUGGUUACUCAGCAGGCUGCGGCAGCACGACAGCAGAUGGACGCUGCGCGUCGGCAGGAGGACAGGAUGAAGAGGUUAGAGGAUCUGUUACUGCGGCAGACGACCGACAGAGGGAUUCCAGAUUCUGUACCUAUAGCACCAGAGAGGGGCACCACAGUGAGAGUACAGUCACCGGUACCCGACACACCCCCAGUAGCUCCGAGGGUAGAGACCCGACAGGAGACAGUAGUACCACCAUCAGUACCUGUAGCAGCAUCAGGGACUGUGUUACCCGAGAUGGUCGGGGUUGAGGAGCGGGAGCGGAUGAUGGAACGACUGAAUGAAUUCCGUCGCUGCAACCCUCAUGUCUUUGAUGGAGAGAAGGCAGAUCAUUGGGUAGUUGAGAAAUGGUUAAUGCACAUGGAGAAGUUAUUCUAUGACACCUUUGUUGAGGAGCAGUAUCGAGUCUGGUUUGCGACACACCACCUUGAUGGUGAGGCUUACAGGUGGUGGGUGGACAUUCGCGAGGAUCCCCGUGCUGAUUUGUUUGCUAUUACGUGGAACAGAUUCAAGGAACUGUUGUUGACUACUUACUUUCCCCAGAGUGUAAAGAGACAAAUGGAAAGGGAUCUGAGAAACCUGAGACAAGGGGACAGGACAGUGGCAGAGUAUGAGCGAGAGUUCUCUCGAUUACUGCACUGUGUUCCUUUUGUAGUUCGAGAUGAUGAGGACAAGGCUCGCAUAUUUGAGGUGGGUUUGCGACCUGCGAUCUUCAGAUUGGUCCAGGCGUCAAACCUCUCCACUUACCGGGAUGUCGUGAACCGGGCUUUGAUUGUUGAGAAGGGGGCAGAAAUCAUGAAGGAAAGAGAUGUUGUGGAUCGAAGCAAGGGAAAGAGACCAGCAGCUGAGAGCAGUGGUCAGCAGUCCUUCCGGAGACCGCCAAAGUAUCCGAGGAACCAGACGGGCCAGACAGGACAGUCGAGGGGUCGAGGUUCUUCAGCACCCCGUGGAGCACCCGAGCGUCGUCGACCACCGCGUUGUGUUAUCUGUGGUGGGCCUCACGUACCGCCACAGUGUCCACAGCGUGGGGGCCGGUGCUUUCUUUGCGGCCAGGAGGGGCACUUUCGUUCAGAGUGCCCGAGAGGUUCUUUGCCCGCACCCUCGUUAGCGACUACACCUGCAUCGUCAGCUCCGAGCCAGGGGACCCCGACAGCGCCUUAUCAGUCUAGGCGACCACCAGGACAGCGGCAGUCGGAGAGUUCACAGCAGGGUUCGAGUGGGCGGAUGUAUGCCGCCCAGACUGAGGGCGCCACAGCAGCACAGGAGGUCGUAGCAGGUAUUAUUAUGCUUUAUGAUAUUCGUGUUCGUGCAUUAUUUGAUACUGGUGCUUCGCAUUCUUUUAUUGAUCGGCAGUUUGCCGAGUUGCAUAGCAUUUCUUUAGCACCUACUUUGUAUCUGGGACGAGUAAUUGUACCUGACCAUACCCUAGAUGUUCGUGAGUUUUGCCCUCGCUGCCCAGUUAGGGUAGGCGACUGGAUUAUGCCAGUAGAUUUACUAGCACUACACAAACUAGGUGAGUUUGAUGUAGUAUUGGGUAUGGAUUGGUUGACACAGUAUUAUGCUACUAUAGAUUGCACGAACAGAACGGUGACCUUUAGAGAACCGGGUCAACAGGAGUUUGUUUAUAAGGGAUGUCAGAGUUCAUUGUUCGCAUUGACCAUUAGCUCUUCGCGAGCACGACAGUUAAUUCGGAGGGGAUGUGUAGCCUAUUUGGCUAGCAUUUCUGUGAGUGGUGGUGAAGCCAUCAAGAUUGAUGAUAUUCCAGUUGUGCGAGAAUUCGGGGAUGUGUUUCCAGCUGAAUUGCCGGGCAUGCCACCUAAUAGGGAAGUUGAAUUUGUGAUUGAUCUUGUCCCUGGGACUACCCCUAUUUCUAAAGCGCCUUAUAGAAUGGCACCCGCCGAAUUGAAAGAGCUGAAGGCACAGUUACAAGAUCUUUUAGAUAAAGGAUUUAUUCGACCGAGUGUAUCGCCUUGGGGAGCGCCGGUGUUGUUUGUCAAGAAGAAAGAUGGAUCUCUUCGAUUGUGCGUGGAUUAUCGAGAAAUCAACAAGGUCACAAUCAAGAACAAAUAUCCAUUGCCUAGAAUUGAUGACUUAUUUGAUCAGCUGCAAGGAUCGAAGGUGUAUUCCAAGAUUGAUUUGCAAUCUGGUUACCAUCAGCUUAAGAUCAAGCCUGAAGAUGUUUCUAAAACUGCUUUUAGAACACGGUAUGGGCAUUAUGAAUUUACAGUCAUGCCAUUUGGAUUGACUAAUGCGCCAGCAGCCUUUAUGGAUUUAAUGAACCGUGUCUUUAAGCCCUAUUUGGAUAGAUUCGUGGUAGUGUUUAUCGAUGACAUCUUGAUCUAUUCUCGAAGUGACGAGGAACACGAAGAUCAUUUGAGAGUGGUGUUGCAAGUACUCCGAGAAAAGAAACUGUUUGCAAAGCUCAAGAAAUGCGAAUUUUGGCUUCGAAAAGUGGCAUUUCUGGGACAUGUAAUUUCGGAAACUGGGAUAGCUGUGGAUCCACAGAAGAUUGAAGCGAUUAAAGAUUGGCCUAGGCCGACUAGUGUCACAGAGAUUCGGAGUUUCCUUGGAUUGGCGGGAUACUACCGAAGAUUUGUAGAGGGAUUUGCAAAGAUGUCUACUCCUCUCACUCGACUUACACAUAAAGGAGCUAAGUUUCUGUGGAAUGAAGCCUGUGAAAGAAGCUUUCAGGAGCUAAAGGAACGAUUGACUACCGCCCCGAUCUUGGCGCUACCUGUUACCGGAGUGGAUUAUGUGAUUUACAGCGAUGCGUCGCUGAAUGGACUAGGGUGUGUUCUAAUGCAGAAUGGCAGAGUAAUUGCUUAUGCUUCUCGCCAAUUGAAAGAUUAUGAAAAGAACUACCCUACACAUGAUCUUGAGUUAGCAGCUGUAAUAUUUGCUUUAAAGCUUUGGCGCCACUACCUCUACGGUGAGCGUUGCGAGGUUUACACAGAUCAUAAGAGCUUAAAGUAUCUGUUUACUCAGAAAGAAUUAAACUUGCGACAACGUAGAUGGUUAGAGUUGCUCAAGGAUUAUGAUUUGACCAUCCUCUAUCAUCCUGGAAAAGCUAAUGUUGUAGCAGAUGCUCUAAGUCGAAAAUCGACGAAAAAUGUGGCGAUGUCGAUAACAAUGCAACCAUUGUUGGUAAAGGAAAUGGAGCAAUUGAAUUUGGAAGUUGUAGCUCCUGACACACCUUGGAGACUCAUGUCGUUGGUGGUGCAGCCUACCCUGAUCGAUCGAAUUAAAAAAAAACAAAUUCAAGAUGAAUUCUUGCAGAAGAUUCGAGAUAAGAUCACUGUUGAGCAUGAUAGUGAGUUUCACGUUGAUGAUCGGGGAUUAUUAAAGUUCGGUGAUAGGCUCUGUGUACCGGCAGAUUCUGGUAUUAAAGAAGAAAUUCUUGCAGAAGCACAUCGGGCACCGUAUACUGUACACCCUGGGAGUACAAAAAUGUAUAAAGAUUUAAAGUUAACUUACUGGUGGCCUGGAAUGAAAAAGGAAGUUGCGGACUAUGUGGCUAAGUGCUUAACGUGUCAGCAAGUUAAAGCUGAACAUCGACUUCCUGCGGGGAAACUUCAGAGCUUACCCAUACCAGUGUGGAAGUGGGAGAGGAUCACUAUGGAUUUCAUCGUUGGAUUACCUCGCUCACAAGCAGGUCACGAUGCAAUUUGGGUAAUUGUUGAUCGAUUGACUAAAUCUGCCCACUUUAUUCCAAUCCACACGACUUGGUCAGGAGAGAAACUCGCACAAGUGUACCUUGAUGAAAUUGUGCGAUUACAUGGAGUACCCGCCUCUAUUGUUUCUGACCGAGACACCCGAUUCGUUUCACAUUUUUGGAGGAGCUUACAGGAGGCCAUGGGCACCCGACUGGAUUUUAGUACUGCUUUCCACCCCCAGAGUGAUGGGCAGUCUGAGCGUACCAUCCAGACCCUUGAAGAUAUGUUGAGGGCCUGUGUGAUUGAUUACCAGGGCAGUUGGCCACAAUUCUUACCGAUGGCGGAAUUUGCCUAUAAUAACAGCUAUCACGCAAGUAUUCAAAUGGCACCGUUUGAAGCCCUUUAUGGCAGAAAGUGCAGAUCACCCCUUCAUUGGAGCGAAGUGGGAGAAAGGUUAGUUUUGGGUCCAGAUGUACUACAAGAGGCUGAAGUUAAAGUUCGACUUGCGCGAGAACGUCUACUGACAGCUCAAAGUCGACAAAAGAGUUAUGCGGAUAAUCGUCGGCGAGAAUUGGAAUUUCAAGUUGGCGAUCAUGUAUUCCUAAAGGUUUCCCCGACGAAAGGAGUUAAGAGAUUUGGCAUUCGAGGAAAAUUGAGCCCUCGAUUUAUUGGACCCUACGAGGUGUUGGAGCGGAUAGGUCCCGUAGCGUAUCGACUUGCGUUGCCGCCGAAUCUUUCGGGAGUACACAAUGUGUUUCACAUAUCUACGCUUCGGAAAUAUGUUUUUGAUCCAACUCACAUAUUGGAGAGUACUCCAGUGGAUUUACAAGAGGAUUUGAGUUUUGAGGAACAUCCAGUGAGAAUCCUAGCACGGGAAGUAAAACGGCUUCGAAAUCGCGAGAUACCCUACGUGAAAAUCCUUUGGAGUAAUCACGAGGAGCGAGAAGCCACUUGGGAACUGGAGAGUGUAAUGUUAGAGCAUUAUCCCUACCUUUUCUUGACGAAAUCGUGACGUACAUGAUUACAAGUUUCGCGGACGAAACUUCUUUUUAGGAGGGGUGAAUGUAAUACACUGAACUUUUGCAAUUUGCGGAGUUCGAGUAUGUGGAAUGGUGUGUGGAUCACUCCUACAUGUUUUAAAAGGUUAGAACAAGUUUUUGGAUAAGUUAGAGGAUGAUUGGAAUGCUAAAAAUAAGAAAGUGCAUUGAACUGGCGAAAAUCAGCCUUUUCUGCUUGCUGUACCGGUACAGCCGCAAUGGUGUACCGGUACACAGUGGCAAUUCGUGGCAGCUUGGGUAUUUUGGUAAUUUCACAUGCUUAUCCCUAUCUUAUGGACCCAGCUCGACCCCAGGAGCUUUGUGGAUGUUGCUGGAGUGCAGAGAAGUGUUCUACCAUCUCUCUCUCUUUCUCUCUCUAGGGUUUUUCUCUCUCUACAAAGGAUUCGACGAUUUCGCUCGUUUUCGUCGCUUCGCGCGUUCUUCGCUGGUUGCGAGUGUCGCAGCACCUUUGUGCACGUGCAAGAGAGCGUUUUGGAGGGAUUUUCGCAGCCCUGGACCAGUGAGGUGCUGGUUGGAAGCUUGAGAAGGUAAACGACUUGAUUUUUCCGUUAUCGACGUUCUAUUCGUCGAUUUGAGUAGCGAUUUCAGAUUUUUGCUCUUGGCUGUUCUAAACUGAGAAUUCAGCUAUUAUUAAUGAGUUAAUUAGCUGUGAAUUAACCUUCUUAGACCUGGGAUAGGCUACUUUGAAGCUUAAUUGGAAUAUUUAGCCCUUUAUGAAGCUAAAAUCGGAACUUAAUGCACUAAGUUGUGCGAAUUGAUGCAAAGUGGGAUUUUUUCUUCACAGCAGGUCUUCGAGCCUCGUUGAGCUGAACUUGUAUCCUUAGAAGCUGGUCUGGAAGGUAUUCUAACCUGAGGUAAGCAGGGAUUUCAGUUAGAAAACUGAAUUCGCAAGAUUUCGACUAUAUUUGCUAAAAUACGAUGAUUUUGAUGUCGUCUCGAAAUUGUUCGCAGCGAGAGGGUGUUUGACCCUUGGACCGCCUUCGUCUGGUCUUGGAGGACCUUCUGGAAGCUUAACGUGAGGUAUUGAACUAAGCCAAACAGGGAUUUAAGCUAUUCCAAUGUACGAAGUGUAAUUGCGCCGAAAUUGGCCUUUCGAUCGUAAUUUUGAUACGAUAUGUAUGCUUCGUGUUCAGCAGGAUUGCGACCUAGUGGAGCUGAUCCUUGGAACUCCUUGGACUAUUUUGGAGCCUAGUACUAGGUGGGUCGGACCUAACCAGAGCAAGUGAAACUCCUCUAUGUUCUAUAUGUAUUAUAGAAAUGGCUUUAUUGUGUGCUUAUGCGAUUAUUAAAGGGCUCGGAACUCGUCAUCACGACGUUUAUCAUAUGUGAAUGAGCGUUUAUGCAUAAAAGUACUCAUGCAUUCAAGUAUUUUUGUUUUGUUCAGUAGAACAACUAAGAAUUCAGUUUAUUAUGUUUCUAUGAUAUAGAGAACAUAUAUACAUGAAAGUAUUCACAUUUAUAUUCAAUUCAGUUGAAUGUCUUUUGAACAAGUGUAGGAUACACUUUAAAGUAGAGAACAAUGACAUUCUCUUGACUCUAACGUAGAGAAUUAUGACAUGUUCAUGACUAUGUUGAUAUUGCCAUACUAGUGGAUAGACUAUAAUGCCAUGUGAUUUAACAUUACCCUUACAUGUUUACAAUCUAGUGGAUACUAGCUCUUGUUACUAUUUAUGUGUUGAAAUUCCGAUCUGAGGGUCGAGGGUAAGAACUUUACAAUGAAAAUAUGAAAAUUGAGACAUGUGGUCAUUGGACUUUGCUUGCUUGCCAUCGUGCUCAUUCGCACACGCUUGUGAGGGUCGCUCCCUGCAAGCCGGCACUCCGGAGUUGGCCUACGCGACAGUUGCUCGCCCGUGCGGGAUUGGGUGCCGAAGUGGAUUGCCGUGGGGAGUGUAUACUACCACGGGGCCAUUAGGCGCGGCGCAAGCUGGACUACCUUGGGUAGGUCCCUGUGAAUGAAAGGACAGUAAUGAAUGCUUAUUAAUUAAAGUGUACAGUAGUCACUUACAUGUUCGUGCUUAUAUUCAUGUCUAUAUUCAUGAUUACAGAGAUUGCCAUAUCCCUAUUAUGCAAAUGAUUCAUUACUGUAGAAAGCUAUUACAUGUUAUUACAUGUUGAUUACAUGCAUAUUAAUUACUUAGCAAUGGAAAGGUAUGCUCACUAUCUGUGAGCAUUGCAUACUUAUAUAUCAUGCAGUUACUGCUUUUCUUUAUUUCAGUACAUCAUGAGCCUGGUGGUGUAAUUCGCUGAGGCUGGCAGCUUACCCACUGGGAACUAUUGUUAAUAGUUCUCACGCCCUUUUGGUUGUUUUUACAGAGCCAUCUACAGGAGAGGCUAGAGAUCGUGGCAAGGGAGUCGCGUCUAGCUAGACUUUGCUAGGAGCAUGCUAGUCGAUCACCUUGCUACUCGGGCUACGACCGAGGGUGAUGUCCAUUGUAUAGAGUGACUACCAUUGUACAGAUAUUUUUGUAUACCCUGUG